rnacentral:pre_miRNA from 1 species
GAAACAUCCCUAUGGAGCAGGGCUUGCUUCAGUGGGGCUUUGGUGCUCACUGAGUCUGUCCCUUGAGUGUGUCUCU